AUUGAACCUUUUUAUUUUCACUAGGUAUUACCAUAAAAUAUACACCAGACAAGUGGAUGGAGCCUACUUCAAAGGGGCUUGCCUCCUGAGCUUGACGGACACACAGCUGAGGAAGUACCUGCAGCAGCUCAGUGCCCGUAGCUUGGCACACAGCCCAUACUUGUUCCUGCCUGAAGAGCCAGGGAGCAGGAGACUGAGGAGGGGGUGCAGGGUCACGGGACACCCCUCCAUGAGAUCACAGGACACAGGGAAAAUCACAAUUUCUUCAAUGAACAUUGGAGACAACACAAGAAAGCUGCUUACCCCGGUGCAAGUCAAAUUGAACCUGUCAGCCAAAAAGAAGAAUGAAAUGACGUUUGAUGAUAUUACCUAUGUAAGG